AACAAACGCUGGCGGCGUGCCUAAUACAUGCAAGUCGAACGAAGAACGCCCUUCGGGGUUAUUAAGAGUGGCGCACGGGUGAGUAACGCGUGGAUAAUCUGCCUUUUAGUGGGGAACAACUAAGCGAAAGUUUAGCUAAUACCGCAUAAGACCACAGUAUCUGCGGAUACAGGGGUUAAAGAUUUAUCGCUAAAAGAUGAGUCCGCGUCCAAUUAGCUUGUUGGUGAGGUAAAGGCUCACCAAGGCUCUGAUUGGUAGCUGGUCUGAGAGGAUGAUCAGUCACACUGGAACUGAGACACGGUCCAGACUCCUACGGGAGGCAGCAGUAGGGAAUAUUGCGCAAUGGGGGAAACCCUGACGCAGCGACGCCGCGUGAGUGAUGAAGGCCUUCGGGUUGUAAAGCUCUGUUCUUAGGGAAUAAAAAAAUGAAGGUACCUAAGAAGAAAGGACCGGCUAACUUCG
rnacentral:rRNA from 1 species